rnacentral:lncRNA from 1 species
GCCGGAGACGAAGGGGCGGGACUGCAGGCCUCUGCGAUUCCCGUAACGCGGCUCCCGGCGUCCGGGAUUCCGGAGGCUGAGCCUGGUCGCCUUUCCUAGACUAGAUCGAAGGCUUCCCCGCCGCACUUGGGUGGGUGGCCGGAACGGAAAGUUCCAUUUUCUCUAGGGUAAUGGGUCGCGGACAGCAACCCAGGUGCCUCCCGCGACCCCUCUCCCCGGACCUCGGCUGUCUCCCUGGGCUGUCUUCCCCAGAGGGCCUGCGAGCCUCCGGCGACUGCUAGGAGGCCCUUGGGACUCUGGAGGCAAGGGAACUCCCUGGGGACAGGGCAGGACUUAGUGGCCCUGACUGUACUCGCCCAUAGUGACCGCUUCGGACCCAGGCUUAAGUAAACGAACCUUGCUACUGUGCAAUUUUUGUUGUUGUUAGUAAAUGAGUUUGGGUGUCAUUGAUUGAUCCGUGAA